CUCCUAAGAUUUCAUCCUAAAAGUAAACAUGGCCGCUCGAGGGGGACCGCACCGCCACCACCUGCGACAGAGACGGUCGUUUCGUGAGAGGAAGGACGUCCUGAAUGAGUUAGAUGACCGUGAGCUGGUGAAGAGGUAUUGGCAGGAUCCUGCUGGUAUCAUUUUCGUGACAAAUUUGGUGCGGGAAAGGCUGAAGAGACCAACUGCAAGGAACAAGGUCUCUCUCCCCGAGAUGCAAGUUAUCUUCAUUGCGGUACCUCGCUAUAGGAAAGAUGCAGCAGUGCAGCACUGAUGACUUGGGGCCCUCACAACAGACCAUCAGCAGGAUCAUCAGUGAUACAGUGAUACAAUGCCAUCCAACUGGAAACUCAAUGGAGGAAGGAGGAGUUUCUGCAGAUUACUGGCUUCCCUGAAGUGAUUGGUGGCAUUGAUGGAACGCACGUAAUGAUUGUGGCUCCUAGAGAGUAUAAGGUAGAGUUUGUCAACAAGAAGAGAUACUACAGCAUCAACGUGCAGCUUGUUUGAUGCUUGAUACCACAUUAUUGAUGUGGUUGCAAAGUGGCCGGGAUUGGUUCACGAUGCAAGAAUACUUGUUCAAAGUGGACUCUGCACGAUAUUUGACAACGGCAUCGUCCCAGCUGGGUGUCACUUACAGGGAGAUAGUGACUAUCCCAGCAAGAAGUGGCUACUGACUCCAUACCUCAGACCACAGCCUGGAGCACAGUCUUCUUAUAACAGGGCCCACAAGAAAACCCACAGUGUUGUUGAGAGGCAUCGGGCAGCUGAAGCGACAUUUUCACAUGCUACACAAUGAGAUCCAAGUUGAUCCUCCAUCCAAGGUCUGCCAAAUUGUAGAGGUUUGUGCACUGCUGCACAACAUCUGCAAAGCAAGAAACAUCAUUCUUCCUGAGGAAGAAGAACAUCUUGCUGCAGCCGAGGAUGGAGGCAACGAGGAGCGACCCCCAGCACAGAAAGUUCAAAGUCACCAUGAAGUAAUCCUUUACAGGGAUGAAUUUGUUGUGCUUCACUUCGACUUUGAUGAGUGAUGAGACACCAGUGUCAUGACUGCUGAGAUUGGUGUUAUUCUCAUGUGGAUGAUCUCCUCAUCCACAAACACCAGUGAUGUACCAGGCAAGUCUGGCCCCUGUUGGUGCUGCAAGUGGUGUGGCAGGUGCCUCCUCCUCAACACCCACUGCCUCGGUCACCACUUCUCUCUGUUGGGCUGCCUCUGCCACUUCCCCAGCAUCAUCUGCUGCCUGAACACUGCUGGCAUCAUUAGUUCUAACUUCAGAAACUAAGCUGAUAAUGUUUUUGGUUUUAUUGCUAAGGACAAAAGUAACAGAAACCAGUAAAUCUAGCUAAGGGUA
rnacentral:lncRNA from 1 species